rnacentral:rRNA from 1 species
GAUGAACGCUGGCGGCAGGCCUAACACAUGCAAGUCGAGCGGCAGCGGGAAAGUAGCUUGCUACUUUUGCCGGCGAGCGGCGAACGGGUGAGUAAUGCCUGGGAAAUUGCCCAGUCGAGGGGGAUAACAGUUGGAAACGACUGCUAAUACCGCAUACGCCCUACGGGGGAAAGCAGGGGACCUUCGGGCCUUGCGCGAUUGGAUAUGCCCAGGUGGGAUUAGCUAGUUGGUGAGGUAAUGGCUCACCAAGGCGACGAUCCCUAGCUGGUCUGAGAGGAUGAUCAGCCAGACUGGAACUGAGACACGGUCCAGACUCCUACGGGAGGCAGCAGUGGGGAAUAUUGCACAAUGGGGGAAACCCUGAUGCAGCCAUGCCGCGUGUGUGAAGAAGGCCUUCGGGUUGUAAAGCACUUUCAGCGAGGAGGAAAGGUUGAUGCCUAAUACGUAUCAACUGUGACGUUACUCGCAGAAGAAGCACCGGCUAACUCCGUGCCAGCAGCCGCGGUAA